rnacentral:rRNA from 1 species
CGUCAAGUCAUCAUGGCCCUUAUGUCCAGGGCUACACACGUGCUACAAUGGCCGGUACAGAGUGACGCGAGGCCGCGAGGCCCGAGCGAAGCACGAAAGCCGUCCGUAGUUCGGAUUGAAGUCUGAAACCCGACUUCAUGAAGUUGGAAUCGCUAGUAAUCGCGCAUCAGCAUGGCGCGGUGAAUACGUUCCCGGGCCUU